rnacentral:rRNA from 1 species
AUGAAGGUGCCCGGUGCCCCUGUUCCAGAGCCUCCUGGCGAGGCCGUGCCCUCAACUCAGUCGUCGUCGGAGAAGGAUCGCGUGUGGGGUGCAUCCCUCCCUCCGAGUGGCAAUGGCAGUCCCCAUAGCGGCAGUGACAGCGCCGGUGCCGUCGCCGCCACAGGCAUCAGGAACAGCCUCACAAGCACAAGCAGAAGUGGAUCCAUUGCCAGUGAACCCGUGGUGACCGCCGGGAGGACGCAAGACAGCGCAAAGGGCAGCUUCCGAGGCAGCUCAAUGGAGAGCAUAAAGACCAGCGCGAGCCAAGCGAGCGACGGCAGCGACGACAGCGGCUGCAGCAACAACAUCACCGGAGCCGCCAGCAAGCCUCACAAGGGCAACGACCCUCGGUGGCGGGCGAUCCUCGCCGUCCGGGCCCGGGGCGGCGCGCUCGGGAUGAGCCACUUCAGGCUGCUGAGGCGGCUAGGGUGCGGCGACAUCGGCAGCGUGUACCUGUCGGAGCUGAGCGGGACGAGGUGCCACUUCGCGAUGAAGGUGAUGGACAAGGCGUCGCUGGCGAGCAGGAAGAAGCUGAGCAGGGCGCGGACGGAGAGGGAGAUCCUGCAGCUCCUGGACCACCCCUUCCUCCCCACCCUGUACACGCACUUCGAGACCGACCGCUUCUCGUGCCUGGUCAUGGAGUUCUGCCCCGGCGGCGACCUGCACGCGCUGCGGCAGCGCCAGCCCCGGAAACACUUCUCCGAGUACGCGGCGAGGUUUUAUGCUGCGGAGGUGCUCCUGGCUCUGGAGUACCUGCACAUGCUGGGGGUGGUGUACCGGGACCUGAAGCCGGAGAACGUGCUGGUGCGCGACGACGGCCACAUCAUGCUCUCCGACUUCGACCUGUCGCUGCAGCAGUGCGCGGUGUCGCCGGCGCUCGUCAGGGCGCCGGCGUGCGACUCCGACCCCAGGAGAGCAGGCGGCGCCUUCUGCGCGCGGCCCUCCGCCUGCAUGGAGCCCUCCGCGGCCUGCGUCCGGCCCGCGUGCUUCAUGCCCGGGCUGUUCGGCCAGAGGAGCGGGAGGCGGCGGCAGGGUUCCGAGCCGGGGCAGGGCGUGCCGGAGCUGGAGGCGGAGCCGACGGCGGCGCGGUCGAUGUCGUUCGUGGGGACGCACGAGUACCUGGCCCCGGAGAUCAUCAAGGGCGAGGGCCACGGCAGCGCCGUCGACUGGUGGACCUUGGGCGUCUUCCUGCACGAGCUGCUCUACGGCCGGACGCCCUUCAAGGGGUCGGGCAACCGCGCCACGCUCUUCAACGUCGUCGGCCAGCAGCUGCGCUUCCCGGAGUCGCCGUCGGCGAGCUACGCCGCCAGGGACCUCGUCAGGGGCCUGCUGGUCAAGGAGCCGCAGCAGCGGCUCGGCGUCAAGCGGGGCGCCGCCGAGAUCAAGCAGCACCCCUUCUUCGAGGGCGUCAACUGGGCGCUCAUCAGGUGCAGCACGCCUCCCGAGGUGCCCAAGCACGUCGAGGCCGAGCCGCCGGCCAAGUGCGGGGCGACCCAGCAGCCUCCGGCGAGCAAGACGGUGAUCGGCGCCGAGGCCGCUGCAGGUCCCGCGCAGCUACCGGGAGGUUUUGCUCAGUCCCCUGCCUCGGGUCUCUGCAUCUCCUCCCUCCAACCUAUCGGCCCCUCCGGCCUAUAA